GAGCCUAAAAACUCCUCCGAACAUAACAAGCCUGGUCCUGACUUUAAAAUCAAUUGUUUCUAAACCUACACAUGCAAGUCUCCUCGACCCUGUGAGUACGCCCCCCACCCCCUACACGGGGUAAAAAGGUUAGUAUAAGGCACAUCAACCAGCCCAAAACACCUAGCAAUAGCCACACCCAUAAGGGAAACAGCAGUGAUCAAUAUUAGUUAUAAGUGUCAACUUGAACUAGUUAAAGAAAUAUAGGGCCGGCAAAGUUAGUGCCAGCCGCCGCGGUUACACUAUAGGCCUAAGUUGAUUUUCUAUCGGCGUAAAGCGUGGUUAAAGCGUCAAUAAAUUAGAGUUAAAUUCUGAACUACACAGUGGAAUGCCUGUUUUCGAGAAACCCAUAAACGAAAGUUACUCUACCAUCCUUGAACCCACGAUAGCCAAGAUACAAACUAGGAUUAGAUACCCUACUAUGCCUGGCCCUAAACCUUAAAUUACCCCCUAAACCGCCAAGGAACUACGAGCAAAGCUUAAAACCUAAAGGACUUGACGGUGCCCCACAUUCACCUAGAGGAGCCUGUCCUAUAACCGAUACUCCCCGUUCAACCCCACCACUCCUAGCCUCUCAGCCUGUAUACCUCCGUCCCAGCCUACCAUGUGAAUGAACUAGUAGGCCAACAUCGCCCCCCCGCUAAUACAUCAGGUCGAGGUGCAGCUAAUGGAGUGGAAGAGAUGGGCUACACUCUCUAUUAUAGAAGACACGAAAAGUCAUAUGCAAUUUUAUCUAGAAGGUGGAUUUAGUAGUAAAAAGAAAAUAGAGUGUUCUUUUAAACCUGACACUGGGGUGUGUACACACCGCCCGUCACCCUCUUCAAAUACUGAACAACAGUACUUAACAAAACUUAUUCCUAAAGAAGAGGUAAGUCGUAACAUGGUAAGCACACCGGAAGGUGCGCUUGGUAA
rnacentral:ncRNA from 1 species